GUUUGGUCCUAUCCUUAAAGUCAAUCUUUACUUAACUUACACAUGCAAGUUUCCGCAUCCCUGUGAAAAUGCCCUUUACUUCCCCCACCCCCGGGACAAGGAGCCGGUAUCAGGCACAAAUAUUUGCCCAAGACACCUAGCCACGCCACACCCACAAGGAAUUUCAGCAGUGAUUAACAUUGAACAUAAGCGCCAGCUUGAUUCAGUUAAAGUGAAAAGAGCCGGCUAAUCUGGUGCCAGCCGCCGCGGUUACACCACGUGGCUCAAAUUGACUUUACUCGGCGUAAAGCGUGAUUUAAGAGACUACUCUCUGGGGCCAAAGUAUUAUUAAGCCGUAACACGCUUAUACUUAUGAAGAACAAAAACGAAAGUUGCCCCAUCCCACUACCAACUUGAAUCCACGACAGCUAAGAAACAAACUGGGAUUAGAUACCCCACUAUGCUUAGCCGUAAACUUUAAUUUACAUUUCUCCUCGCCAGGGAACUACGAGCAAAGCUUAAAACCCAAAGGACUUGACGGUACCCCAAAUCCCUCUAGAGGAGCCUGUUCUAUAAUUGAUACCCCCCGCUUGACCUCACCACUUUUAGCCAAUCAGCCUGUAUACCUCCGUCGUCAGCUUACCACGUGAGCGAUAACAUAGUAAGCUCAACGCCAAUACGCCAAUACGCCAAUACGUCAGGUCAAGGUGCAGUUAACAAAGUGGGAAGAAAUGGGCUACACUCUCUAACCUAGAAAAUACGAAAGACCACAUAUGAAACCUGGUCAGAAGGAGGAUUUAGUAGUAAAAAGAAAAUAGAGUGUUCUUUUUAACCC
rnacentral:ncRNA from 1 species